rnacentral:piRNA from 1 species
UACGGAAGCUGGGAGAGCCAAACUUU